CUUAAGCUGAGGGUGAGUCGCACAAGAAUGGCAAUUCAUUACCAAGAAUCGCAAUAACUGGAUACAAUUAAGAAUGACAAGGAUCCAUGUGCUUGCCUUACCAAUGAACUCAUCCUGCACCAUAAGUGAGGCUCUGUACAUUCCCAAAUCUAUACUUCCACAUCUGCCAUUCUUGUACAACCACCAGCUAGUUCAAGUCCUACCGGUAGACUACUUGAAGGUCUGUGGAAACACAGGAGUCCAAACAGAGGCAGGAGACGAUGGAGGAGGCAGGGAUGUCAGUGACAGCUCUGCGACGGAAAAAGCUCCUGUGGCGUAAACAUGCCGGAGAGCCGCUCUGUCAACAUGCCGGACGGGCGACAGGAAACUUCUACUCUGAAGAAGAUGACUCGUACUGCCCAGGGGGGCUUUGGCAGACGGUGUACUAGAGACUAGUGAGACCCUCUGAGUCAGCAGUGUGACAUCACGUUGACAUCACAGCGUGAUGACAGGUCUCAUGAAACUGUGCCCCAUGAGAUCACACAAACAUCCAAGCUGUCAACAGGAGCAACAGAACUAUACUUUCUCAACUUUAAAGGUAUUGCACUGUCAAAAUGUGCUUGUAUACAAGUAUAAAUAUCCAACAGUAAACUAAAGCAAGAAAAAGCAUGAUACUGUAUCAUUUAGAUGGUGAUGAUUUUUUUCUUUUUGCACACCCAGAAUGUAAAAUAGCCCAAACCAGAUGCACCACAAAGUCACCUUACCAAAUCUGAAGCUACCGUAUGUAACAUUUUUGGAGAUGUGUGGAAAUAUGCCAAGAAACAUUUGAACUCAAACAGACAUUGACUUAACUUCCAUACUUCUGGGAUGAGAACCCUCAUCAUAAAAGCUGGUCUGACAAAUAAUGAUUGAUGAAAAGAAACAUUAAACUUUGAUUUAACCUGCCUUUAAAGACAAGGCACAGUACCAGUUUGUUUUGGACCAGAUGCUGUUGGCUUUGAAGCACUAAAAUGAACUGAUGUAAGAUACAACCAACAUGUUUGAAGAUGCCUUUCCAUUCCUUAGUUCAGGUGUUUGCAUCAUGUUUGACCUGCCAUUCACCGGAUCAAUACUGACUUUUUUUUCUUCUUCUCUGAUUCAAAGUUUUUCUUCAUAACAAGCCAUGUUUCUGGGAAAUUUUACAGUAUGUCUUGUUUCAUUGGUUCAUUAGUCCUGAUGCGGAAUACUGCCUGAUUUUGUUCACAUUUACUUAUAGUGAAUUUUUGAAGCUAGAUUUUUGUACUAUACAAAAGGUGGAGUUGUGAAGUGGGUUUACACAGAGGUCCAACCACUGAUGGGUGAUUAAAAUUAAUCACUUUCACUGCUCAUGAUUCAAAGAUUCAAGGAAUGUUGCCUUUAAGGUUAACCCUAAAUAAUGCAAGUUCAAAGGCUUUCAAUAACAGGUGGUGGCUCACUCAUUUUUCUUACAUUUAGAUUGUUAGGAUUAAAUUUAGCAGAUGCUUUAUACAAAGGGAUGUACAUCUGAGAGUGAGAACAACAAAAGCAAGAAUAUUUUUCUUAAUUUAUAAGGGAAUUAUUCUGUAAUUGUUUAAUUGCUUGUUCACAGAGGUGGGCACAGUUAAUCAUUUUUUAAAACUAUUAACCACUAAACCAUUUGCAAAGACAUUAUAUUUGAUAACACUUAAUGUGUUAAUUUGUUUAUAACUACAAACAUUAAUCCUUUAAAAAUUAAUGGAAGUUGAACUGGUGCCACUUAGUGACGUGGAGUUUUAAAACCUUUAACAUUUUCUCUCCUCUCAGUUGUAUUACAUGAUACAGGUAUUUGUGGAAGUGAAGUCAGGUAACGCAAACAUGACGAUAUUAAAGAAAACCAAAUUUAACAGCAGACUUCUUAAGGUCAAUUAAGAUAGGAACUGGAGCACACUGAUUAGGUUGCACUAUCUAAAUGUAUCAGUGAUCAACUUCAUCUGAGUCAUUGUGGACAUAGAAAACAAGCAAACACAUUACAAAACACUGUUGUCAACACUGGACAGGUGUAAAAAAAAAAGUGUAAAUAGUUGAGAGAAUUUCUGAUCAGCUUGAUAAUUGAGCCCAUGUGUGAGCUGCUAUAUCUCCAAAUGCUACGCCUCAUGCACACAGAAAAAGAUACCAACUACUGCAUCCAUCAAGUGUUAAAAAACAUGAAGAAUAAGGUAAAAAUAAAUCCAACUUUGUCAAAAGUG